ACCCUGUAAUAAGAGGGUUGUGCUUACUUAGCCAGCACUCAGUUGAAAGAGAAAAAAAAUAUGAAGGCAUUGGUUCCUGAAACCUAACCGUGUGUCCUCCUCUAUUCUAACCGAACACCACUGCUCUGUUUUCUCCCCUGGCCGAGCAGUUCGUGGGCGCGUGUGUGUAACCACCAGCGAGGGACUUAUUGAGAGAGACAAUGGCAACACAUGCGCUAUGACAUUCUGCAACCACCACACGAAUUUAUAAUCAACCAUAUAAAAUGUCCAAGGACUAAGAUUACAUGCUUUAAAGGCAUGCAAGGACUCCAGGAGCAGAAAGGGGCCAGGUAUGUGCCUUGUUUGGGACAACUCCAUCAGUAUGAGCCUUCUUCAAUAGUUGGGCGCCGAAGCUCUGGAUGCUUAAGUGAAUGGUAAGCCAGCCGUUCCUUCUUCAUCUACAAACAUAAGAGAAGGUUUGUUUCUGUUCACACAAUUGGACUGAAGAUUGGAAGAAGGAAAGAAGGGGGAAACGAAACCUCAGUGGUGGGGAACGACGGCCAGCAUGGGUCGAAGCGUCUCAUUGACGCCACAGUUAUUCAGUUCAGAGAGGGCGAUGCGUCACUUACUACCUUUGUAUUACAGGGACUACAACAGGCUUACACUGGCCUGAAACACUUUCUACACACAAAUGAAGUGCUCCAGCCUCUAAGGAUGCCUUUCUUAAUUUCAUUUGAAUACCUGUUGGACUACAACAUAAGAUCAUCAGCAAUCUUGCUAGUAGUAAUGUGCAAUUCCUCAAAAAUAUCCCGGAAGAGCUUGGAGUUUCCGCGCUUCCAUAUAUUCCAGGGUACCUAGCAAUUUAGAGACAAAGAAGCAAUUCAGAAAAUUCAGACCCAAAGAAGCAGUUUAGCAGUUUAGUAAACUGAAUAAUUAUUAGACCGUUCAGAAAAACUAAGAUCUUUGAACGCUAUACCAUUUAACCUAGCAAUCCAUUUGAAUGUAUAAGCAUGUGCAAUAAUCACUGCUAUUCACUUCCUCGUGUAAGAAAUCAAAUUGAAGCAUGGCACCAUUAGGAAGAAAAGCACACAUAUUAGGCAUUGACCGAAAAGUUUAGCAAGAAAAUGUAAUCUCCACUGCUCUUAUUCUCUUGACUUGAUCAGCAGAUCGGAAGGAGUUGGAAAAGGCACAGUGCCCCAUCUUCCACUUGAACGACAUAUGCGCAGAAAAACACCUUGAUGGCUAGUCCUUUGUGAGUGCUCAUUAAUUCUGCUGCCCGAAACAUAAACGCAUGAAAGUCAUGCACGUCUAGCUAGCUCUUGUUGAAAGAGUGCUCUGGUGAGCCAAUUCCUAGCCAAAGCAAAACACGCACUGCCCGGGGAACCGCAGGCUGCCGGCCGGUAAACCACAGUCCACGGCCCGGCGAACCGCACGACACAGCCCGGUGAACUGCACGUCGCUGUAGCACGACCACCAGCGGCGAGGAGCAGAGCACCAGCUCACGGCGGGAACUCGUCAUCCGGACGCCCGGUGACACACCCAAUCCCCACCCAACCAACUACCUGGAUCGACCGGGGUGACGCCAGUAAGCAGGAGAUAGCGGGAUUGCAGCCUCACGACAUAGAGCAAAGCAAAGAUAACUGAAUUGAACACAGAAAAAUUCUACUGUAAUGAACUGCACAGGAAACUGACAGCCGAACUUGUAAGUUCUGAAUUGCACUUGACGCAGGCAAAUUUUUACAACCUGGAUGCAAACAUCAUCCAGAGAACCAAAACUCAAGGAGAAGAAAGAACUGCAUUGAAUUGUAUUUUUGCACAUCAAAAAUCUGAAACAAAAAUGCAAAAACUAUGAACUCCAUGGCAGAGGAAUCCAUAGAGCAGAGCACCACACUACGGUCUUCCUGGGACGUCACCGCCGGCGCGGCUGCUCCUCUCGCACUCUCGGGUCCACGAGACCCCUUCCAGCCUCGUGGUCGCCAUGGGCGCCAUGGUCGGCGAUACAGAGAAAAUAGGGGAGGGUACUGGAGGCAAUCAGUCGCGGGGGAGGAGGGAAUCGAGGGAUUAGUUGCCGGCCCGGAUCCGCCGGGAGGAACGCUGGGGGCGGUGGGACCGUGGGAGAUUGAGGGAAGCCUAGCCAAGGGCGAUGAGGGGUGGCGGCCGCCGGAUACAGCUCGUGGCGAGAGCUCUGGAGGUGGGAGGGGUAGCCAGGGGAUAGGAGGUGUGGUUCGGCGGGAGUUUUGUGGAGCGGCGGCGCGACGCGGUGAGGAGGUAGAUGGAUGGGGGCGCCGGGUCUCGGG
rnacentral:lncRNA from 1 species